UCCCUCCCUGUGCUUUAUUUCGUUUUCGUCGUCCCCGACUCCCCGUACGCGCUCUCGCUCUCCAGGGCCCAUCAUCCACGCCUUAACACCGGCCGCACAAACUAGCGCAGAUCUCCCCCCACUGCUUAAUUCCCUCGUGGCUCGUGCGCGCGCUGCUCGCCAUACACGCUCCAGUAGAGAUGGCAAUGGGGACCCGAUCCCCGAUUCCCCGCGGGGAAUUCCUCCAUUAGGGGAUGGGGAUGGGGAAGAAACUUCCCCCGCGGGGAUAUAAACGGGGAAAAUUUAUCCCCCGACGGGUAAACGGGGAUGGGGACGGGGAAGCAUUCCCCAUCCCCGUUCCCCGCGGGGACCCGUUAAACUUGUACGUGACUAUGUUUUUGUGUACUAGUUAACGACAAAAAUAAAUAAUUACCUUAUCAAGAGACCACUAAUUGUACAAAUGUGUUCAUUUUGAUGUAUGCAUAAUGAUUUCUUAUAUCUGACAAUGUGUAUAAGUGACAAUAUUUAACAUUAAUAGCAAAGUACGUAUGUCUUAAUUGUGAUUUAAACGGGGAUGGGGAUCCCCGUUGGGGAUUUAUCCCCGCGGGGAACAGGGAUGGGGAAGAAAUGCUCCCCGCAAGCGUUCGUGGGGAUCCCCGCGGGGAAGUUUUUUCGUCGUGGGGACGGGGAUGGGGAGCUAUUCCCGGGCGGGGAAUUCCCCGUUGCCAUCCCUACGCUCCAGGCUCUCGUUUCCUGGUAGGCGCUGGUACAAGCGGAAGCAGCAGUAGCGUGAGGCAUCCCCAUGCCGGGGGCAAUCUCUUCCUCGUCGUCGGCUUUUCUCCUCCCCGUCGCGUCCUCCUCGCCGCGGCGCAGGCGGGGCAGUGUGGGUGCUGCUCUGCGCUCGUACGGCUACAGCGGCGCGGAGCUGCGGUUGCAUUGGGCGCGGCGGGGCCCGCCUCAGGAUGGAGCGGCGUCGGUACGCGCCGCAGCGGCACCGGCCGGGGGCGAAAGCGAGGAGGCAGCGAAGAGCUCCUCCUCGUCCCAGGCGGGCGCUGUUCAGGGCAGCACGGCCAAGGUUGAUUUACUCGGAACAUUUAUUAACUCGAUUUUUUCCCGCAUGAAAAAGUACUCCGUAUAAAAUUGCUAUUGGGUUUAUGCACAGCUUGCUUGUCAAAUUCAGCACCAACUCACCGUUUCUGACGGAAAUGCAGCUGCACAUGCAGUUUUAGCCGCUCCUUUCUCAUGAUCAACUACCACAUGUGACACACGCGCUUGUAUAUUUUAGAUGCGGAUCGCUGAACUCUGUACUAGGUGAGCUUCGCUGAUGCUAAGUUUCUAGCUGUGUCCCAAACCUGUUUACUCAGGCUGUGGAUUCUGCUUCACCUCCCAAUCCUUUGACAUCUGCUCCGAAGCAAAGUCAGAGCGCUGCAAUGCAAAACGGAACGAGUGGGGGCAGCAGCGCGAGCACCGCCGCGCCGGUGUCCGGACCCAAAGCUGAUCAUCCAUCAGCUCCUGUCACCAAGAGAGAAAUCGAUGCCAGUGCGGUGAAGCCAGAGCCCGCAGGUGAUGAUGCUAGACCGGUGGAAAGCAUAGGCAUCGCUGAACCGGUGGAUGCUAAGGCUGAUGCAGCUCCGGCUACAGAUGCGGCGGCGAGUGCUCCUUAUGACAGGGAGGAUAAUGAACCUGGCCCUUUGGCUGGGCCUAAUGUGAUGAACGUCGUCGUGGUGGCUUCUGAAUGUGCUCCUUUCUGCAAGACAGGUAGGUUGCAUUUCAGCUGAGUUUCUCCGUCCAAAAUAAGCGACUGCUCUGACAACCGUUGCCGCAUAGGUGGCCUUGGAGAUGUCGUGGGUGCUUUGCCUAAGGCUCUGGCGAGGAGAGGACACCGUGUUAUGGUAUUCAUCUCUUUCAUUUUCGUUAUAUCUAUGCACCCUACGAGAGACAGCAGAUACUGUUUCAGCUGCCAUGCGCCUGAAUGCAGAUUCUGAACUCUUGUCCUUUGCGAAACAUGGGGAAAAAAUUAAGAUCACAUAGUCAUACUUCUGUAACCACAAGUUUUGUCUCAGUGCUCUAAUGUACUUCCACAAAAAAAAGGAGGAAAUUAUAAUUCAUAUAUGACCAGAAAAGUAAUGCAAUUUUGUGUCCUGAUGUUAGGUCGUGAUACCAAGAUAUGGAGAGUAUGCCGAAGCCCGGGAUUUAGGUGUAAGGAGACGUUACAAGGUAGCUGGACAGGUAUGAAAAAAGUGGAAACAAAGUCGCUGUAGAACCGAUCCUGUAUGAAAGAAAGAAAAUAUGCUAGACCUGAUUUUUUUCCUCCUGUGAUUUUCAGGAUUCAGAAGUUACUUAUUUUCACUCUUACAUUGAUGGAGUUGAUUUUGUAUUCGUAGAAGCCCCUCCCUUCCGGCACCGGCACAAUAAUAUUUAUGGGGGAGAAAGAUUGGUAAAUACCAAUUUUGAAGUGCUUUUGCUAACAGUAGAAAAUCAAGUUGGAUGCUUGUCACAUUUAUCUAAACUAUGUCUCUGAAUUUAAUCACCUGAUGGCAGGAUAUUUUGAAGCGCAUGAUUUUGUUCUGCAAGGCCGCUGUUGAGGUACUGCUAGCCAUUGGUUUCUAAGAAAUUCACAAAGUAACAAAAAAAUUAUGAUGGCUUACUGGCUAAUAAGAAGAUAAAUUCAUCGCUGGUAAAUUUUGAUAAGUCAACAGUGACCAGGCCCCAUAGAAUUACACAAUAUACACCCUUCACUGUUUAGUUAAUAUAUUUUUCUUCUACUUUUCCAAGCUGUCUAUGCACCUCAUUGAAUAGUUUGUUAUGACAGACUCAAUUACAGCUCAUAUGGGCUAUAGUUUAUUGUGGGGCGAAUAAAUCUGCAUCAUCCUCUUUUUCAAAGUUAUUUUGAACAUUUGCAGGUUCCAUGGUAUGCUCCAUGUGGCGGUACUGUCUAUGGUGAUGGCAACUUAGUUUUCAUUGCUAAUGAUUGGCAUACCGCACUUCUGCCUGUCUAUCUAAAGGCCUAUUACCGGGACAAUGGUUUGAUGCAGUAUGCUCGCUCUGUGCUUGUGAUACACAACAUUGCUCAUCAGGUUUUGCACCUUAAACUUUGGCUACCCUUUGUUUUUUUCUCUAAAAACUUUGAAAUCACAUGUACUUAUUUUGUUGAUAUCUUUGUUUGUAAUUCUCCUGCAAAAGUUUUCAAGAUUUAUCGACUCAUAGCAUUUAUUGUUUUUUUUAAAGGAAAAAUUCACGACUCAAUAAACCUAAUAGCUUUUUAUAUUUUUAGUUUCUUCCAGUUGUCUAGUGACCCAAAUCAGAUGAAAUGAAACUAUGAAUCUUUUGAAAGGAUAAAAGGUAUUGGUGUAUAAGAAAAGUUACCCAUAUCUCAGACAGGAAUAGGGAUGGCAGUUGGACCCGUGGGUAUGGAUACCCGCGGGUUUCGUACCCACCGGAUACCGGAUAUGGAUACGGGUACAAAAACUCACCCGUGAGUUCUAUCGGGUCGGAUACCCGAAAUACAUCGGGUCGGGUAUGGGUAAAAUACUUUACCCAUGGGUAUCCAGUGGAUACCCGAAAUAUCAAUAUACCUCUUUAAAUGUUCUACAUCCACUAAAAAUGUGCUACAUUCACUAGAAAAACUCACUCGCAUGUGUUGUUGAUUAAUGAAUAUUAAUUUAUGUUGUGUUAACAGUCAACUAUAAUGUAAUCGAGACCAAUGAGACAUUGACAAUGUUAUAACUGUCAACUGUCAUGAACUUAUUAAGCUUUUAUUCUCUUUACUCAAAUUUAAAUUUAUUGGAUGUGAUAAUUAUAAGUUGAGAUACUGUAUCGACGUGUAGCCAAAUAUAGUCAUUCUCGUGUUGCAUUGGUGCUUAGAUGUAAACUAAAAUAUUUUAUGUAUUUAUUAUAACACUGACCGAAUGUUAUUUAGUCUACACAAUAACAUAUCCACUGGAUACCCGAUACCCGGUGGAUACCCGAUGGACAUAGAUACGGGUACAGUUUCUCGCUCGAUUGGCUUGGUGGGCAUGGAUAUUUGUAGAAGUCUCGGGUAUAAUUUCGGGUCGGGUAUUGUUAUACCCGAACAAAACCCGACCCGCUGCCAUCCCUAGACAGGAAUGUUACCCAUGUAAGGAAAUGCUUUUGUGAUAUAUUCUUAGGAAUACUUGUGCUAGAUAUGUAAAAUUGUUACUUUUAGGCGUCAGUUCUUUGCUAUUUUGAGGGAUUGAUUAGGUUGUUUCCUAUUUUCAGCACUAGUUCUUUGCUACUUGGAGGCAUCAAUUUGGUCCUUUAGCAUUUUCAGGUUUCAUUUAGGUGCCGUUUGGUUCACAUAUUUGUAACGUAAUGGAUAAGUGAUAACGUUAAAUCAUGUUUGUUUUAGUCCAACCGUAAUCAGAUACCAUACUAAAAAUUGAUACCGAACUAUUCAAACUUAUUACCGCCAGUAAUCGAGUGUAAACCAUUACCAUUAUCAUUUACGUUACAUUUCUCGAACCAAAUAGCACCUUAGUUCUUGUGGGAAUGAAUAUGGUAAUCUUAAAGGAGUAUUUAAAUGCACUAGAGUUAAUGGUUAGUUGGCUAAAAAAUUGCUAGUGUAAUUAGCUAUCUAAUAAAUAGUAGCUUACUAUUAGUUAAUUUGCUAAAAACAGAUAAUAGCGAAAUUAUUAGCUAGACUAUUUGGAUGUCUUCAACUAAUUUUAAGAGCUAACUAUUAGCUCUAUUGCAUUCAAACACCUCUGUUAAACCUAAUGAACAAUCAUGUGUUCGAGACUUAAAUAUUGUGUAUUUCAGUUAGAUUUUGCUGGUUGACUUUUUUUAAAAAAAAUAUAAUUUUCAACUUCAGACCUGACACGGCCAAAAUUAGUAAAUUGCUGAUGCAGUUAUGCACAUUUUUCGCUUUUCUGAAGGGUCGUGGCCCUGUAGACGACUUCGUCAAUUUUGACUUGCCUGAACACUACAUCGACCACUUCAAACUGUAUGACAACAUUGGUGGGGAUCACAGCAACGUUUUUGCUGCGGGGCUGAAGACGGCAGACCGGGUGGUGACCGUUAGCAAUGGCUACAUGUGGGAGCUGAAGACUUCGGAAGGCGGGUGGGGCCUCCACGACAUCAUAAACCAGAACGACUGGAAGCUGCAGGGCAUCGUGAACGGCAUCGACAUGAGCGAGUGGAACCCCGCUGUGGACGUGCACCUCCACUCCGACGACUACACCAACUACACGUUCGAGACGCUGGACACCGGCAAGCGGCAGUGCAAGGCCGCCCUGCAGCGGCAGCUGGGCCUGCAGGUCCGCGACGACGUGCCACUGAUCGGGUUCAUCGGGCGGCUGGACCACCAGAAGGGCGUGGACAUCAUCGCCGACGCGAUCCACUGGAUCGCGGGGCAGGACGUGCAGCUCGUGAUGCUGGGCACCGGGCGGGCCGACCUGGAGGACAUGCUGCGGCGGUUCGAGUCGGAGCACAGCGACAAGGUGCGCGCGUGGGUGGGGUUCUCGGUGCCCCUGGCGCACCGCAUCACGGCGGGCGCGGACAUCCUGCUGAUGCCGUCGCGGUUCGAGCCGUGCGGGCUGAACCAGCUCUACGCCAUGGCGUACGGGACCGUGCCCGUGGUGCACGCCGUGGGGGGGCUCCGGGACACGGUGGCGCCGUUCGACCCGUUCAACGACACCGGGCUCGGGUGGACGUUCGACCGCGCGGAGGCGAACCGGAUGAUCGACGCGCUCUCGCACUGCCUCACCACGUACCGGAACUACAAGGAGAGCUGGCGCGGCCUGCAGGCGCGCGGCAUGGCGCAGGACCUCAGCUGGGACCACGCCGCCGUGCUGUAUGAGGACGUGCUCGUCAAGGCGAAGUACCAGUGGUGAGCGAAUUAAUUGGCGACGCCGACGCCGCUCCUGUCGCAGGACCUGGACGUUAUUUAGAAGGCUCUUCUCCCUGGCGGCUUUGAUGCGUGCGUCGCAUUUGCGCCGGGCGGACGGGCGACGGUGGUUGGCCUACCGCCUACGUCGGCUGCGUGCCCUGGGAAUUUGGGCGGGCACGAUGAUGCCACUGGGCACCGGGCGCGGGGUAGUAUGAUAUGAAACCGACGGCGAUGGAGAUGAGGCGCAUGGCAUUUUCCCACUGAUAAAUGGGGAGUUGUAUGCUACUUUAAUAUCGCCACUCCUGUUAGUAUUUAUAUUGAUGCUGUCAAGUUUUCCACUCCAAGAACAAAUGACGGUAGCCGGUAAGUAUAGGCCUAUUUGUAGAGCUAGUUAGAAGUACAUGUGCCCAAACCGACAACAUUGUACGUACAUUAUAAAGCACGGCACUAUUUGUUACUGUCAGUAACCGUGUCGUGCUAGUACUAUACCUAACCAUCGUCACAGGUACAGCAUUAUAGCACCUAUGACGCCAUUGUAUAGCACUUAGUAGUUAGUAGUGCUCUUGUCGGUCUAGAUAUUAUUUCACUUUAAGAGUGCUCAAAAGAGCUAGAACACCUUUAAAAUUACAUAUAUAUAAAUUUAAAACAUAAACAUGCAUACUUUAUUAUAUUUAAAAAUCAUAAUAAAUCACAAUUUACAAUCGCAUGCAUUGCAAGCAAUCAGUCGUAUCUAUACUACCUACCGUGUCAAAGCAGUACGGGUUGUGUUAUACCUAGUAUCCAUUUAGUAUGAUCCACUUGGCUAUCUAUAGUCAGAGGCUUGAACACCUCUUGGUUUAGCCGAACGUUUACAGUAUUAUUUAUAUUAUUUGAUUAAAUUUGAAUUGUUUAGUUUCUUCACGAGCCGUAUUCGGAGCCGGUGUGGAAAGGUAACGUUUUAAACAAAAGUGAAAAAGGGCGAGCUCUCCCAGCCGUUCAUUCCAACCGUAGACGCCUCAACUGUCAGCCCACGGGACAGGACACUGCUGGCCUAGCCUGCUGUGAGAGAGAGAGAGAGAGAUAUCACAGAGAAUCAAAGCACAGUACUACGAAGUUUCUUUUUUUGAAGGAAACAGUACUACCCGUCCUUCGUAUUUGCUACAACUGUAGGACUGUGGCCACUGACACUCGCACGUUGCUUGCCACAACCACCACCUCCGCCGUGUCAAACGCGCACGCAUCGAUGGCCAUUGCAGGCCCCUUGGCAACGCGAAUUGGGAUAGCUUUUCCCAUGCGAGUGAAAGUGAAGGUGCCUGCGCGGCUCCCGCACACACGGAAAGCUGGUUGCAAGAUAUGGACAUGUCUUGCAAAAAAUUCGUCACUUGUUGAUUGAUGCUCUGGGCUCCGAGAUGUACGUCCAAUUAAUGCUGUUUCCAUUCGUUAAUUCUGUGAGAUGACUCCAACUACGCUAACGCUUAGGCCCUGUUACAGACCGGUAAUUAUUAGCUAAUAAAUUAUUAGUUGUUUUUAGCUGGGUUAGGCUGACUACAGUGGUAUCCUCUCGCCUCCCCUUCCCUUGCCUCUGUAGUGAUGGUGGCGGAUACAGUAUCACAUUUGCUUAGGCUAUCCGCACUCAUUCAACUCUAAAAAUCCACUCUAAAAAGAAUAUUCCGUCCUAAUCAGCAAUAUUCUCUACUCUAUACAACAAUUUCCUGCGCUCAUGUUUACUCUACAUCUCAACUCUAUACCAACUCCCACGUUUUAUAUUAUUUUUCCCACUCUCCUACCCCGCCUAUCUACCUCCCCGCUCGGCACUCCGCCUCCCCCGCUAGCACUGGGCAUAAAACCCGAGCCCGAAGCCCUGUACCCGAAAUACCCGAACCCGUACCCGUAUAGCCCAAAACCCGUUACCUAAAUAGCUUCAGCGGGUAACGAAACUAAAUACCCGAAUUAAGUACGGGCCUAAUCGGGUAUUAAACCACGCUACCCGAAGCACUGUAGCUGCGUGCUUGCGCCAGCCCGCCAGGUGUUCGGCCAGUCGGCCUGCUCAGUGCUCACGGCCCAGUUCUCAGUUUCUCACGGCCCACGCACUGGCUGGAAGCGCCCCCCUCCCCAGUCCCCAGACCCACUGUCCAGAGCCAGAGCCCAGAGGCACGCACGACCGCACGAGGCCACGAGCACCGGAGCACGACCAUGAAAUUGACAAAUCAACAAAGCACAAACCCUAGCUCCUAGAGGUGGCGGCUGCCGGCUCCGCGGUCGGCACUCGGCAGUCGGCAACACCGCAGCAGGCAUUCCAGGCAUUCCAGGCAAGGGCGCAGCCGCGCAGGCGUGUGUGGGUGUGCGGUCUGCGGUGUGCCCCUGCGGUUCUUCUCCUCUCUCUCUCUCUCUCAUUGUGAGGCAAGGCAAGGCCACAGCCCACAGCGGCACAGCAUCGUCGGCGGCCACAGCGUCCACACUCCACAGGCAAGGCAAGGCAAGGCCUCUCUCCCGCAGCAGCAGGCGGCAGCGCCCAGCCUAAGGCUGGCUCCAGCAGGGUCCUGUAAAAGCUCCUGUACUCUACAUAUAGAGGUUUGUCAGAUCCUCUAUCCCUCCAACAAGGGACUUUAAAAGGUCCUCUAAAAUUUAUGGCUUGUUCGCUGCGGCUUGCUGCGGCUGCAAUCCGGCUGCGGCUGCGGCUUCUACAGUAUUUUUCUCUCUAUGGAUUGCAGCUGCAGCAGUCCAAACAGCUGCAACAGUGUCGGCUUGUAGCCAGCCGAACACGCCCUUAGAGGAUGACAUGCAUGCGCUAUGUAUAGAGAAUGUACGGCGGUGCUCUAUAUAGUGUGCUGAUUUCUGUGCACGUGCUGACGAGCGGUAAAAAAUAAUAUAGAAUGUCAAAUCUAGUAGCACUAUUGAUAUAGAGGAUGAAAUUUAGGGGAUAUUGCUGGAGAUGAAGAAGAUAUAGAGUACAGAAUCUUUUAGAGAGUGCUGUAAAGGACAGAGAAUAUUCUUUUAGGGGAUGAAAUUUAGGGGACGUUGCUGGAGACAGCCUAACAGCGUCAGACGCCCAACACUCCAGCAUCUUAGUGGACAGCGCCGCCCAGCCUAGCAUCGGGUAUUUUGAUAUUAACCGAACCCGUACCCGAAAGUAUGGGUACCCAAAAUUACGGGUACCCGACAUUAUGGGUACGGGUUCGGGCUUAGAUGUUUAAAACCCGAAAUAUAAAAAACCCGACCCGAAAUAUCGGGUAAACCCGAACGCCCAGCUCUAUCCCCCGCAGACAGUCCACGUGGAGGAAUAGGGUAUCCACUGCAAGACGCCAUAUCUGAGGUUCGAGCUUGCCUUGGGCCCGGUGCAGUUGGUCAUACAGUCCACCGCUGCAGGGAUAUUUUACUGUAAAUGGCGAUGCAUCCAGUUUGCAGUCCGCGAGUGCAGAUAGCCUUAGUGCUGAUUUGGUGACCAGGAAUCACGAGAGAAUCUAUACGAAAGGAAUUUCUUGUUAUUCAAUUUUGAAUAGUAAGAGGAUUCCGAAAAAUCAAAGUGCCUACUUGUGUAAUGAAUACAAGAAAUCUGAGUUAGUGUGUACAGUAUUCAGAAUUAUGCCACGUAACAAAAACAAAACAUGAGCGUUCGCGGGUGGUUGUUCACGUCGUAUUGGACAGCUUUUUAAAAAAAAAUUGCCAAGAGCUCACAAACGUUCUCAGUAGACCUGCCCGCGACUGUGGAUUCCAAAUCUAGGGGUCUGUUUGGUGUUUGGUUUAUGGAUUGAUUAAGUUUAACCGUUCAAAUUAAAUAACUAAUUUUAGCCAGAAAAGGUAGGUAAAAUAUGACAAAUUAGAUAGCGAACCAAAUGACUAUGCAUACUGAAGUUCCAGCACAAACUUAAUAGGGUUCAUUACAACCAACACACUUGGGUAACACGCAAAACAUCUCAUCCGAAAGAGGCCAUCACCAUGAGACCCCACAAAUGCUUAAUUGGCGGGUGAUAAAAGGCGGCCUACCUCCGUUAAUCUGCAAGCCAGCCUUACCACCACUUCCAAUUCCAAAACAACCAAGCAAAACGCUACCACACCAACCAGGCUAACACCAGCACGACAAAACCCGCGCUAAUACUAGGCCUAAACUACUGGUAAUUCCCCAGAUCCAAAGCGAGAUGCACCAUUCAUAAAACCAUGGCGCCUCUCGGCAAGCUCCGAGUGAGGGUGGACGACUCUACCACGACCAACGGAAAACUACUACUUGUGGCACCGCGUCGACGACGGACGAGACGACGCUGCGGGAACGAUGGAGGGUGUUCAGUUGAACUGGGCCCCGCUGAAGGUCUGGCCGAAGCCCCAGCCGCGCGGGGCAGCGUUGCUGGAGACCACGGAGCGGCCGUCGCUGGUGGUGACGCGGAAGGAGAGGGCCUGCCCGUCCAGGAGCGUGUUGCUCUGCCAGUUCUGGCCCCAGUUGCGCGACAGGGCCUGCCACCCCGCGGAACGGUCGCCCUUCACGGCCACCGCGUGCACGUCGCCGGCGCCGCCCACGUUGGUCACCAGCACCAGGUUGAAGUAGGAGUGGCCGUUGAUGGUGAACCGGAUGCCGCCCUUCUUGUUGCACGCGACCCUGCACAGCACGUAGGAUAGGAAACAAACAAACAAACAAACAAACAAACAAACAAGCGCGGCUCUCAGAUCUGCUCGAGUUCCUUUCCCUUCUUGUUUUGCUAUACACGGGCAAAAUAAACAACCACGGAGCACGGACCUGCGGUAGGAGACGGGGACAAUGCCAGCCCUGUAGAGCGCGAUGCGCUGGAACACGGGCUGCGACAUGUCGAAGUGGGCGCGCGGCGGGUUGCACCAGCCGCCGUCGUCGGACGGGAGCGCGUUGUUGGGCGGGCAGAAGUUGGUGGCCGUCACCACGACGGAGCCCGGCAGACACGAGCGGCCGCCGCCCCCCGCCGCGUCGCACCGCACCUCGAAGCAGGCGCCGCAGCUGAGGCCGUUGUUGAAGAGCGCCGUGCUCAGCGCCGCCGUGUUGGUGCCGUACCCCUGGCUGUAGAGGUUGCCGUACCCACACGCCCCGCCUGCAUGGACGCGCCGCGUUCAGAUGCGAAAUUCAGUCCAAGGCAUCUCGGCAGGGUACUGAAACCUACGAGAACCGCGAAAUGUUUGAGAAUGGGGGUCGCUCACGUACCCAUGGUGCCGGACGCAUCGCCGCCGCCGUAGAAGGUGGCGUGAGCCGAGGACCACGCGCCACCUCCGAGCGGUGCGUGGCCGUGCGGCCUCGGGUGCGGCUGGGCGCGGUGGUGGCCAAGCCGCAGCCCGCGAGAGAGGGCGAACGGGAGCAGCGCGGCGAGGACCACGACCGCGAGGACGGCUUGGCGAGGCGCCAUUGGAUUGGAGCGGGGUGUGUGUGGCGGUGCAGAAAGGCGCAGGACAAUGGCGGGAGUGGUGUGAAGUGAGGAGAUGUGGGGUGGGGUGGGGCUGUGUGUCGGGAUAAAUAGAGGGGGGCGGCGGAUGGGUUUCAAACCGCCGCGCGCGGUGCGCGUGGGCGUGGUGCCGGGCCGCGCAGGGCGUGGGCGGGACGGGGAUGGACGGUGGUUGGCGGCUGUGGGGCUGGGCUGGGGCCUGGGGCGCGCGGCGCCGUGGCAUGGUGGGCCACGCCGUGCUCUGGAAAAGUCGCUGAGCUACCACGUAGGGACACGGGUUUUCUGGCGGGCACCUUGGGAGGCGUGGCGGGCGGGAGAGGACGGGGAAAAAAAGGUGGGCGCCGCAGAGGACACCGGCGCGGUGACGGUGCUGUGCGGCAGCUUUGGAAGUUGAACAUGGCCGCGCGGGGUGGUGACUGACGGUGGUCCACCGUUCUAUUGCUCCAGCGAAUUCUCCUGUACUACUAUGUAUUUGGCACUAUUAUUCACUAUGAAAUCAUAUUAAAAUUAAGUUAAAAUUGGAUUUUUGAACCUACUGUUACAUGUCUAUGUGAUCAGUUCAAUAUUUUUUUUGAUAAAUACUGAAGCCGAAUUUACAGAUCAAUCUUGUUACGAGGUACUGUCCAAGUAAAAGAAAAGGUGACGAUGAUAAUAGCUUUCCGGAUUUACAUAUAAGAUUACAAAUAGGGAUAAUAAAUCGUUGAAAUCAAUAAGUUUAGGGUCUUUUUUGGAUUGCAGAAUUUUUCAGUUUUCCGUGUUUUUUUUUCUGAUGAACUGAUUCCUAUAUAAUUAUUCUGAAAUUCAUGCAUUCCAAAGGGCGUGACAUAUUGAUAUAGUUCUGUGUACCCGUCACGCUGCUACUUCAUAACUAACUUUGGAAGGAACCGAAUUCCUAUGGGAACUGAAGUACCGAGUAAUACCAAACGUCCAGGCCUAAUUACAACACAAGCAACCACAUAGCUUGAAAAGAGAUCUAUCAACAUACGACAAGAGAAACUACAUGAACAAUCCACCUCAAACUCAGACCAGUACGGCAGUACCAAAGGUCCAUAAAAUGCUGGCUACUAGAUCACCAGCACACACAAAAAAACAUAAAGGCCAAAAAACUCUCAGAUCACUCUUUCCACAUCUAAAAAAUCUUCAGAUCGUUUCUGCAAGAUCUUUACCCAGCUCUUCACUCUUCCAUUAUCAGCUAUUCAUUAGCUACAGCUAACAUUUAGAUGAUUACUAAAAAAAUAGUUUUGAACUGUUUAGAAUCAAUGACUGAUAGACGCUAUUCUCACAUAGAUAUAUUUAUGCCUCAUGGGCCCUAGCGAACACACAGAAGCACUUUCCUUGGGCACAUGAAAAUAACAGAUGGGUUGUCUACACUGCAUCAACACAAACUUCAACUCUAAUAGGAGACAAACUAGGACCACCCUGAGCCUACUGCUACCCCAACACCGCAAGUACCCUAAUGGCCCUAGCAAUACCAAUCGAACCACCUUAGGCCUUCUCUAGUGCCUCCCCCAUCCCACGAAGGGGAGCUUUGGGGGUGAAAUUGCCCUCCAACAACUACUCCAAAGCUCCCUCCAUAAGGAAAAGAGAGGAAACUCCUAACCAGGUUAUAUUAAACUAUGCUUUGCCUCACCGCACUAUCCCUCAAGCAACGGACAAGCUGAGAGGGCAAACACUAAAAUCCUUUGAAACCUCAAAACCUAGAUAUAUAAUUGUCUUAAAAACAUAGCUAGGUAUAUCAUCUUAGAGCCUGUUUGGAAAUGCAGUUUUGAAAUACUAUAGGUUUGAGAUACCACAGUUUACAAUUGUACAUAACACAAAUACCACGAUAUUACUUUACCACAGUAAAACCAUAGUAUUGCUCAAAACCGAGAUAUGUAGAGAAAAGAGAUGAAAACUGAGGUAUUUUUGCAGUUUUGAAACAAUACUAUGGUAUUUGAUAAUACUAUAGUAUUAGAGCUCAAAGGUUGUUUGGUUUGUACAGUCAAAACUCAGUUUUAAAUACCAUGAUUUUAUCCAAAACUGUGGUAUUUUUGGUGUUUUCGAAACUCCACUCAGGACCUUAGUUUUCUUCUCUUCUCUCUACAUAUACUUUGUUUUUUUCCAAUAGAACCAAACAGAUCUCGGUUGUGAGCAAUGAUGCAGUUUUAUUGUGGUAAAACAAUAUCAUAGUAUUUAUGUCAUGUACAAUUGUAAACUAUGGUAUCUCAAAACUACAGUAUUUUAAAACUGCAUUUACAAACAGGCCCUCAAAAGCUCCAAAAAUAUCACGGUUUUGGGUAUAUUAAAACCAUGUUUUAUCUGUACAAACCAAAUAUCUUUUGGGGUUCCAAUACUAUAGUAUAAUCAAAUAACAUAGUAUUGUUUUCAAAACUACAAAAAUACCACACUUCCAAACAGGGCCUUAACUCGAUUCUUUGGGCAAACAGAACUACUCCUAAUCAGGCCACGAGAGAAACUCCGUUCUUUUUGGCCUAUGGGGUCGGGCUCCCCUUGGUUAUUGUGUAUCAAGAUGUUUUGCAGCAGCAAAGUACGCCCUAAGGAUCUAGACUUGCUCGAUGAGCAAAGAUGACAGACUCUCCUUCGUGCGGUGGAUUACCAGCAAGCACCGCGCCGCCACCAUCUACGCCAUGUAAGGCCAUGGACACUUACAAAGGAGAUAUCAUGCAUGCUCUGAUGUAUCGUCAGCCAGGUAGGUAUGAACAAACUCUAUCCUGCCUAAGAGGGUCCUUUCCGGGUUACCGGAGUCUAGAAACCAGCAUCUAGUUCGGCUCAGCCCUGUUAAUAUGCUUGAUUUGUAGUAUUUAUUGUGGUCUAUUGCAGUGCUCAGUGGUGAAUCAGUGGAGAGACAGGAGAGAAUGAGACAAAUGACAGGGAUGGUUUCUUUAUUGCAGACAGGGUAGUAUAUACACAAGUGUUCUCAAGGGGUGUGUCCCUUGGGAAUAACUGUCACAUGGAUGGAUUAGAUCACAUGUACAAAUAUUUUGUAACACUCCCCCUUGAUCAAUCCUAAUCCAUUUGAUCAUCUGCAAUCUGUCAUCAAAUUCUUGAUCUCCUCAAAAACCCUGUGGGAAAAAUAAGGAGUACACAAUGUCUUUUGGAUAAUGAGAAUAAUCUCACAUAGUCUCCAAAAGAAAAAUAUGCUUGUAAUCAUCAUGUAUAAAAACCCCUGUGGGGAAAAUCAAUGAUGAAGCAUAUAGCUUUGUUGAUAUUACCUCGUUAAAAACUUUGAAUGAGAAAACCUUAGCAAGGCAAAAACUCAUACAAAGAAAAGAGUGUAAUAUGAUGGUUCAAUACAGGUUAUAUAUCAUGGGGAAUUACUCCCCCUGAACCUUGCAAGCACUUAAGUCUUCUCAUACCAAUCCUCUCAACACAUUUCUGAAAUGUAGAGUAUGGUAGAGACUGUGUGAAUAGAUCUGCAAGAUUAUCACAAGACUUUGUUUGCAAGAUGUUUAUAUCCCCUUUUUCCUGAAGUUCAUGGGGAUAAAACAGUUUAGGAGAAAUAUGCUUAUUGAUAUUGCUCUUGAUAUAACCUGUAUCCAUCUGAACAACACAAGCUGAAUUAUCUUCAUAGAUAAUUGUUGGUGAGUUAAGAGAACCAAUACCACAAGUUGUGAGUAUAUGAUUCACCAUUCUACGAAGCCAUACACAUUCAUGUGAUGCUUCAAAUAAUGCAAUUAUUUCAGAAUGGUUGGUGGACGUGGUCACCAAAGUCUGCUUAGACGAUUUCCACGAGAUGGCAGUUCCACCUUGUAAGAAUACGAAUCCUGUUUGCGAUCGGCCAUUGUGGGGAUCAGAUAAAUAGCCAGCAUCUGUAUACCCAAUUAAACUACGAUCAUUACUUCUCUUGUAAAAGAGUCCUAGAUCCUUUGUGCCAUUUAGGUAUCGGAAAAUAUUCUUAAUGCCAACCCAGUGUCUUUUCGUUGGGGGCAGAACUGUGCCUUGCUAACAAAUUUACUGCAAAAGCAAUAUCCGGCCGGGUAUUGUUAGCAAGAUACAUCAAUGCACCAAUAGCACUGAGAUAUGGGAACUCCGGUCCCAAUGUCUGUUCUUCAUCAUCCUGUGGUCUGAAUGGAUCUUUCUUUAAAUCCAAGGAUCUGACCACCAUAGGAGUCUUUGAAGGAUAAGACAUAUGCAUAUUGAAUUUUUCCAAUACCAUUUGGGUAUAUGUACUUUGAUGUACAAGGAUUCCAGAAGGUAAAUGCUCAAGUUGUAGACCUAAGCAAAAUUUGGUUUUACCCAAAUCCUUCAUCUCAAAUUCCGUCGUUAAAUGAUGACGUGCUUCAUCAAUAUCAAGUUUAUUACCUAUGAUGUUAAGGUCAUCAACAUAAACUGAUAUGAUACAGAAUCCCACUUUGGAUCUUUUGAUGAAGACGCACGGGCAAUCAUCAUUUUUCGUGUAUCCCUUACUCAAAAGGAAUUCACUCAAUCGGUUGUACCACAUUCUGCCCGAUUGUUUUAAGCCAUAUAAUGACUUCGGCAACUUUACACAAUACAUGUUGCACUUUGUCUUUGGAUUCGGUACAUCUAUUCCAUCAGGAACUUUCAUGUACAUAUCAGAAUCCAGUGACCCAUAAAGAUAUGCGGUCACUACGUCCAUCAACUGCAAAGAUAGACGAUUUUGCACUGCCAAAGAUAUUAAAUAUCGGAAUGUUAUUGCACUCAUGACUGUUGAAUAAGUUUCGUUGAAAUCAACGCCGGGUCUUUGUGUAAACCCUUGUGCUACUAGCCUUGCUUUGUAUCUCACUACCUCACCAUUUUCAUUUCGUUUCCGAAUGAAAACCCACUUAUAUCCCACAGGGAAGAUAUCACGUGGUGUAGGUAUUACAGCAGAGAAAACUUCUCUUUUGUAAAGCGAGGCUAACUCCGCUUCGAUUGCUGCCUUCCAUUUGAUCCAAUCCGAGCGCUUACUGCACUCUGCCAUGGUCUUUGGAUCUAGAUCAUUUUGAAGGUCCUCAGCAAUCUGCUCGGAGAAAUAUAUGUCGACAUUGGUAGCUUUUCUAUCAUAUGUUUCACCAGUCUCAACAUAGUUGAUGGCAAUUUCAUCAUUCCUUAGAGACUCAUCAGAAUUUCCCAAAUUGAUGUGUCUAGGAUUUUCCGAUGUCCCAGCCUCGGUUAUGUGCACAUCCGAGCUGGGUUGUGGAUCAUCACAAUCCACAUGAUACAUUGUAUCAUUUUGGUGUCCUUUUGCAUUCACUAUUGUUCUUUGCUUCUUGGCAACAGAACAGCGCUUAUUCACCAUACUUCUCCUCUCUAGGAGUUGAGUGGCCUUAUUCGGUACUUCCACUCUUUCUGGUGCAUUCCUAGCAGGAAUGAAUGAUUUAGUGACACCUUUGUAAUUAGUGAAUGCAUCUGGCAGUUCAUUUGCAAGUCUUUGCAAAUGUAUAAUUUUCUGAACUUGCAGUUCAGUUUCUGAAGUACGUGGAUCAGAACCUGGAACACAUUGAGUAUUCCAAUUUAUUUCCUGGCAUUCUUUUUGGUACUUAAAUUCUCCCCCUAAUGCCGGGAAAUGUUCCUCAUCAAAAAUAGAGUCAGCAAAACGGGCUGUAAAUAGAUCCCCUGUUAAGGGUUCUAAAUACUUAAUGAUCGACGGAGAUUGAAAUCCCACAUAGAUCCCCACUUUCCUGUGUGGGCCCAUAGCUGUUCUCUGAGGUGGUGAGAUUGGAAUGUAUACACAACAUCCAAAUUUGCGCAAAUGGGAAAUACUUGGAGGAUUUCCACGUACCAUUUGUAUUGGGGAUGUUGAAUGGUAUGCAGUUGGUCGUAAUUGUAUAAGGUCAGCAGCGUGCAGAACUGCAUGACCCCAACACGACGAAGGCAAUUUGCAAUUCAUCAAUAAUGGCCUUGCUAUGAGUUUAAUCCUCUUGAUUAGUGACUCAGCCAAACCAUUCUGGGUGUGGACAUACGGUACCGAGUGCUGUACUUGAAUCCCCAGCGCCAUACAAUAAUCAUUGAAUGCCUGAGAUUUGAAUUCAGCAGCAUUGUCCAUUCGGAUUGAACUAAUCCGAUGUUCAGGAAAAUUUGCCUUUAACUUGAUAAUUUGAGAUAUUAUCUUGGCAAAUGCAUGGUUGCGUGUUGAUAGUAAACACACAUGUGACCAUCUAGUAGAUGUGUCAAUCAGUACCAUGAAAUACCUGAACGGCCCAGAAGUUGGUAUAAUUGGCCCACAAAUAUCUCCUUGAAUCCUUUCAAGGAAUUUAAGCGGUUCAGCUUUAAUUUUGAGAUAUGAUGGUCUCAAAAUAAGUUUCCCAGUUGCACAUGCGGUGCAAACAAAAUCCUGAGAUUUGGGAAAACUUGUUGUGGGCAAAUUAUGACCAAUUGAAUUGCCUGUAAUUUUCCUCAUCAUCCCUACGCCAGGAUGACCAAGUCGAUCAUGCCAAAUCUGGAAUGCAUCAACAUCUUGGAAAAUUACCUUGUAUGCAACAUGUGCAUUGCUCUUAAUAUAUGUAUAGUACAACCCCAUAACUUUUGGCAUUAGGCCCUCCGAUUGGAGGAUCAUUAGGCCCAUUAGGCCCUCCGAUUGGAGGAGGAAGAUGAGGCCGACGUGGCGGCCGGAUCGAGGGCCAUUAGGCCCUCCGAUUGGAGGAGGAAGAUGAGGCCACCCCAUUUGGGUGAUGGUCGGUGAAGAUGAUGCAGCCUCUCGGGGCAUCAACAGCGCGAGCAGGCUGCCCACGACGGGCAGCGAUGGUCCCGACGACCAUAGACACUGGUGGAGAUGGCGAACGACGAGCAACUGCCGCUGCAGGUGGCGGUGGUGCCUCCAAAUUGACGUCCAUAGGAGCGGAUGCAGACGAUCCCACGUCAACGACCGGCACCGGUGGCGACGGGGAUGCAGUGGGGAGUCCACACUCCACCACCGGCAGCGGAACCACCGCUGUCCAUCCAUGGAUAACACAGAAGUGCACAUUUUGCACUUGCACACGGCGUUCAGGGAUCGCGUGCACCGGUGGAAGCGCUGCGGCUUGCCCAACGGUGAACGCUUCCAACAUCGCAUCAUCAACAAUAUGAAGAACUUCGCGCAUACGGCGUAUGCGCAUGGAAACGGUAUGUUUCAUACCUUGCUGUUGAUGUGCAGAUCGAUCUUGCUGUUCUUGUCAAGAACCGCGUGUUCUUCCUCUUUCCCUACUCUGAUUUCUCCUUGAGACAGUGCUGAUAACGUAUUGUGGUCUAUUGCAGUGCUCAGUGGUGAAUCAGUGGAGAGACAGGAGAGAAUGAGACAAAUGGCAGGGAUGGUUUCUUUAUUGCAGACAGGGUAGUAUAUAUACAAGUGUUCCCAAGGGGUGUGUCCCUUAGAAAUAACUGUCACAUGGAUGGAUUAGAUCACAUGUACAAAUAUUUUGUAACAGUAUUAUCUUACAUUAGCCACAAUUCUCUUCCAUUUUACUAUGCCGAUGGUUGGCUCGUUGCUGACACUUUUGCCACAGAUCAGUACGCUGUCACUGGGCUGAGGUUAACAUAUUCCUUAAUUUUUUUAAUUCUUACCGUUAGCGUAGGCCCACCGCCCUACAGGAGCAGCAGGAUUGCAAUUGCAGCCUGGGCGGGGGCGUGGAGCACCAUAGCAGCAGGCUGGCAGUUGCAGACUGUGUGGGGCUCCAUUGUCCAUUCGCUUCAAUCCGUCAGGUUGUGCGAGAAAUCAGAAAUAGCAAGCCAACACGGGACACGCACAGGCACAUGCUCCCUCUGCCGAGUUCCCUUCCGAUUCAGAGCGCCGAGCGCCCGCCCGGCCCCACCUGUGCAUGCCGAAGUCCUGCACAGAAAAUAGUCUGUCCCUUGUCCGAAGCCCACACGGGCGAGCAGCACCAGCACCUCACGUCGUCACCCACAAAACCGGAGCAGAUUCCUAGGGUUUCCAACGUUUUAAAAUGGUCGGACGAGAAACCCGCGCAUGCAGAUCGUUUUUAACAGAUUCAUUUGUCUUCAAGGUUGGCAAAUCGUUUUUGACGGGCUGCUGCUGCUGCUGGCCGCGGCGGGAGCUUUUGCAGAGACGGGAGAGGGACCCGUGAGCCGUGACCUACGGAAGCAAAGCGCAUCGAUUCGAACCCGUGGGGCCACAAGCCACGUCCCGAUGGCCGCUCCAACGGCAGCACGGUUCCAACUGCGAAGCCACCGGCGUAGCGCCGUACGCACUGUAGACUGCGUCCGAGCGAUACGUGUCGCAUGAACGACGCAGCGAAACGCGCAAGUGUCCUGCGGCGUCAGCCAUGCAGUUGCAGUUGCAGGUCCCUCGCUGUGGCCGGCCACCUGCAGUCUGCUCCUCUCCGUGCUGGGUCACGCGGCCGGGUGGGCAGUACUGUCUGGCUGUCAGCUGUCUGCAUUGAUUGAACGGAGGAGGGCCAUGAACCUUCCAGAGUCCCCGCGCCAAACGGAGACAACCAACCAGCCCAGCAGCGAAUCCAGACUCCGUUGGGCCCGUCAGAUCUGCGGCUCCAUUCCUUUCAAAUCCAUCCCAAGUCUAAGGAAAUCAAGAUCAACAACAAAGCAGAGUAGCUCCAAGAACAUAACCUCUUUACGUCCUCUCCAACAACCUUUUUACGCCCUUUUCUUAUGGACAGGGAAUCCCGGCUCCCGGCAUAGAGAUGGGCUGGGAAAAAAAACUUCAAAAGCUUUGUCAACUAGAUCUCCAAAUAUUCCUAUAUAUAUAUAUAUAUAUAUAUAUAUUAUUAAAGCAGGAAGGAAACACGGCCUGAUAGCCCAUCCACGUCAGUCGAAUUAUCUUAGCCGUUCGAUUGUCAAUCGUUGGUUCCCAUGCUCUCUCGUGCGCCCAUGUGUCUUAUCUGGAGGCUUCUAGGUGACACUUCUUUCCUCCUCGCAUCCUCUCUCUCCAUCCUGACUCACGCUCCCUCCCUCCCUCCCCAAGCAUCCCUGCCCACCCACGGCUCCGGCGACAGCGGCCGCCGUUUUGGACUCCAGAUCUGGCCGCCAUCGCUGCAACGGUCCAGGUAAGCGGCUAAUCUGCUCCGUUGUGCCCUGCUCUGCUCCUAGUCCUAGCGACGCAAGGGUUUUGGUUCAGUUUUUUUCCCUAGGGAAAAGGGAAGGGAAAAGCGAAGUGCAUGAAAUACAAAGAUUUGCUUUGGGAUUUUUUGGGGGCACUGCUAGUGUGUGUCGUGGCAUUGGAACGGAGUAAAAAGUGAGGGUUUGGUUUGGUAUUUUUGGAGCACUCCUGACUUAGUGUAUGUGUCGUGGUAUUUUAUUUCAAGAUCAAUCCAUUUGGUCCCCUAUUUUCUCAUGUCGGCUAAACAUUUUCCCUCUCUUGAUUUACAGCAUUAUUUCAGUGCAGUUUUGUUAACUCCUUUUUUCCUUUAGCAUGUCUUCAUUUAGUUUCUUAUUAUGCCCAUCCUUUUAUUUUUGACUAUGAAGCAGGCUUUCUGGAAUCACAUUUCUUGAGAACUAUCUGUUGGAGAGCUAAACUAGGCUCUUGUUCAUAUUAUGGAUCAGCAAGCUAAGAUUGAUGCUGAUUUUCUUGAACCAACUGUACUCUUAGAUGAGACACAUUACCAGGAGGGGUACAGAAAUGGCUAUAAUGAUGGUUUGGCAUCUGGAAAGGAAGAGGGGAGGCAGGUUGGUUUAAAGAUUGGUUUCCAGGUCGGUGAAGAACUGGGUUUCUUUCAGGGCUGUCUGGAUGUGUGGACGUCUGCAAUUCUCAUUGAUCAGAAUGCCUUCACAGCUCGGGUCAGGAAGAAUAUCGAGCAACUGGCUGCACUGGUGGGCAGCUAUCCGCUGUCCGAUCCGGAGAAUGAACAAAUUCAAGACGUGAUGGAGAAGAUAAGGCUGAAAUUCAGGGUCAUCACUGCAAGCUUAGGGGUGAAGUUAGAGUAUGAAGGGCACCCCAAAUCAUCUAAACAGGAUGUUGAGGAUCUGUGAGCGGUGAUUGAAAUUACAUUUUAGUUUCUCCGCCCUUGCUGUUUAAAGCUCUUCAACUCAUUGGCAUCAUGAGGAACUGCCGUGAGACAUCAAUGGUCAGAGUCCGACCAUAACCACAUAUAUAGUUUUAACAAUGUCUCAAGUUUUGUGUUAUUAUCUGUUGUCUGCCAUAUGUAAUAGUUUCCUUUUAGAAGGCAAAAGCACUUCCUUCCCAUUUUCUUUGAAGUACUUGUAUUCCUAUAGUCCAUUCCCGAUUUCUUUUUCGCCAAUUACAAAGACAAAGAUACCAAGCCGAAGUGCUAAAUAAGAUAUAGACAACUCGUCGAAGGACUUUGCCAAUGAGGAUUUAGGGACUGGUACCUCACUUGCAGGCUACGCCAUAAACAUGAGGGCUAAUGAUGUAGGCGUUCGACAGUCGGACACCGUCCAGGCUCAGACUCGAGAACCCAGCAUCUCGGAUGCUCUGUCCGGUUCUCCUGGUGAGGUGGCAUCCGUCCGCUACGAAUUGCUGCAAGGGAUCAAGCGCACCUUGAACCAAGCGGAGCAACGUACCAUCUGUGUCACGGACAAGAAGCAGCAGCUGAAUCAGCUGUUAGACCGAAACUCUUUUAGGAAAGAAAAACAAAUCCAUAUACCAUAUACAAAUGGAUGAUACAUAUAUCAUAAAGAAGGAAUAUGGAGCAGGUAGUCAGUAUCGAACCCGUAACCCCAAGGUUAUGAGCUUUGUGAGCUACCAAACUGCUCCACCUUCUUAGCGGGAAACUAGUGGGUUGGAUAGGCCCCUCUACCAUAUCUAUACAAAUAGAAUAGUCCAUUUAUACAGAAUGGUAAAGAGGGCUCUUCUACGAUCAUCAAUUCGAGAAAACCAUACAAAUAUGAAAGAAAGGGUAUUUUAUCCUUACCAACUGGAUCUUGUUGCACCCGGUAACAAACAUGCAUAAACCAUUUCUCGAAGUAUGUGUCCGGAUAGCCCAAAGUCUCGAUAGUUAGCUCUAGGUCUUCCGGUUAAAAAACAACGUCGAUGAAGGCGUGUAGGUGCACUAUUACCCGACAAUAUCAACAACCAGCUCUGAUAACACUUUCACGGUGCUUCUAU
rnacentral:lncRNA from 1 species